CAAUAGCGUAUAUUAAAGUUGUUGCAGUUAAAAAGCUCGUAGUUGGAUUUCUGAUCGAGACAUCAGGUCGGGUCCGAGAGGAUCAUGUACUUUGAUUUUGUUUUGAUCAUCCUUGGGGAGAGCAUUUCUGGCAUUCAGUUGUCGGGAUUGGGAUCCUCAUCGUUUACUGUGAAAAAAUUAGAGUGUUCAAAGCAGGCCUCGGCCUCUGAAUACAUUAGCAUGGAAUAAUAAGAUAGGACUUUGGUGGUCUAUUUUGUUGGUUUGCACGCCAAAGUAAUGAUUAAUAGGGAUAGUUGGGGGUAUUCGUAUUCAAUUGUCAGAGGUGAAAUUCUUGGAUUUAUGGAAGACGAACUACUGCGAAAGCAUUUGCCAAGGAUGUUUUCAUUGA
rnacentral:rRNA from 1 species